CCUACGGGUGGCAGCAGUGAGGAAUAUUGGUCAAUGGGCGGGAGCCUGAACCAGCCAAGCCGCGUGAGGGAAGAAGGUACAGCGUAUCGUAAACCUCUUUUGUCAGGGAACAAAGGCGGGGACUAGUCCCCGGAUGAGGGUACCUGAAGAAAAAGCAUCGGCUAACUCCGUGCCAGCAGCCGCGGUAAUACGGAGGAUGCGAGCGUUAUCCGUAUUUCUUGGGUUUAAAGGGUGCGCAGGCGGCCUGGUAAGUCAGCGGGAAAAGCCCGGGGCUCAACCCCGGCGAGCCGUUGAGACUGGCGGGCUGGAGUUGGAGAGAAGUACGCGGAAUGCGCGGUGUAGCGGUGAAAUGCUUAGAUAUCGCGCAGAACCCCGAUUGCGAAGGCAGCGUACCGGCUCCACACUGACGCUGAGGCACGAAAGCGUGGGUAUCGAACAGGAUUAGAUACCCUUGUAGUC
rnacentral:rRNA from 1 species